GCGAAUGGCUCAGUAUAUAAGUUAUCGUUUAUUUGAUAGUACCUUACUACAUGGAUAACCGUGGUAAUUCUAGAGCUAAUACAUGCUGAAAAUCCCGACUUCGGAAGGGAUGUAUUUAUUAGAUACAAAACCAAUGCCCUUCGGGGCUCUCUUGGUGAUUCAUGAUAACUUCUCGAAUCGCACGGCCCCGCGCCGGCGAUGGUUCAUUCAAAUUUCUUCCCUAUCAACUUUCGAUGCUACGGUAUUGUCCUAGCAUGGUUGCAACGGGUGACGGAGGGUUAGGGCUCGACCCCGGAGAAGGAGCCUGAGAAACGGCUACUACAUCCAAGGAAGGCAACAGGCGCGCAAAUUACCCAAUCCCGACUCGGGGAGGUAGUGAGGAUUAAUACCGAUACAGGGCUCUUUUGGGUCCUGUAAUUGGAGUGAGUACAGUACAAAUCCCUUAACAAGG
rnacentral:rRNA from 1 species